rnacentral:rRNA from 1 species
UACGGAGGGGGCUAGCGUUGUUCGGAAUUACUGGGCGUAAAGCGCACGUAGGCGGCUUUGUAAGUAAGAGGUGAAAGCCUGGUGCUCAACACCAGAACUGCCUUUUAGACUGCAUCGCUUGAAUCCAGGAGAGGUGAGUGGAAUUCCGAGUGUAGAGGUGAAAUUCGUAGAUAUUCGGAAGAACACCAGUGGCGAAGGCGGCUCACUGGACUGGUAUUGACGCUGAGGUGCGAAAGCGUGGGGAGCAAACAGG